CCAGAGAGAGAGAGAGAGAGAGAGAGAGAGAGAACUUCUCCCAUUACUCUACCAUUUAGAGAGAAAAGACUUCCUAGCAGCCCCAGCUCCCCAACCCCACUAGAGGCUGUUGUGUCUGGUAGUGUAAAAGACAAUAGGACCAGACAGAGACAAUAUGACCAGGCAGAGACAGGACAGAGACAAUAUGACCAGUCAGAGACAGGACAGAGACAAUAUGACCAGGCAGAGACAGGACAGAGACAAUAUGACCAGGCAGAGACAAUAUGACCAGGCAGAGACAGGACAGAGACAAUAUGACCAGGCAGAGACAGGACAGAGACAAUAUGACCAGGCAGAGACAAUAUGACCAGUCAGAGACAGGACAGAGACAAUAUGACCAGGCAGAGACAGGACAGAGACAAUAUGACCAGGCAGAGACAAUAUGACCAGUCAGAGACAAUAUGACCAGGCAGAGACAAUAUGACCAGUCAGAGACAAUAUGACCAGGCAGAGACAGGACAGAGAUAAUAUGACCAGUCAGAGACAAUAUGACCAGUCAGAGACAAUAUGACCAGACAGAGACAAUAUGACCAGUCAGAGACAAUAUGACCAGUCAGAGACAAUAUGACCAGUCAGAGACAAUAUGACCAGUCAGAGACAGGACAGAGAUAAUAUGACCAGGCAGAGACAAUAUGACCAGUCAGAGACAGGACAGAGAUAAUAUGACCAGUCAGAGAUAAUAUGACCAGGCAGAGACAGGACAGAGAUAAUAUGACCAGUCAGAGACAAUAUGACCAGUCAGAGACAAUAUGACCAUUCAGAGACAAUAUGACCAGUCAGAGACAAUAUGACCAGACAGAGACAAUAUGACCAGGCAGAGACAAUAUGACCAGUCAGAGACAAUAUGACCAGUCAGAGACAAUAUGACCAGUCAGAGACAAUAUGACCAGUCAGAGACAAUAUGACCAGUCAGAGACAGGACAGAGAUAAUAUGACCAGUCAGAGACAAUAUGACCAGUCAGAGACAAUAGGACCAGUCAGAGACAAUAUGACCAGUCAGAGACAAUAUGACCAGUCAGAGACAAUAUGACCAGGCAGAGACAAUAUGACCAGACAGAGACAAUAUGACCAGUCAGAGACAGGACAGAGACAAUAUGACCAGUCAGAGACAGGACAGAGACAAUAUGACCAGUCAGAGACAGGACAGAGACAAUAUGACCAGGCAGAGACAGGACAGAGACAAUAUGACCAGUCAGAGACAAUAGGACCAGUCAGAGACAGGACAGAGACAAUAUGACAAGUCAGAGACAAUAUGACCAGGCAGAGACAAUAUGACCAGUCAGAGACAAUAUGACCAGGCAGAGACAAUAUGACCAGUCAGAGACAAUAUGACCAGGCAGAGACAGGACAGAGACAAUAUGACCAGGCAGAGACAGGACAGAGACAAUAUGACCAGUCAGAGACAGGACAGAGACAAUAUGACCAGUCAGAGACAAUAUGACCAGUCAGAGACAGGACAGAGACAAUAUGACCAGUCAGAGACAGGACAGAGACAAUAUGACCAGUCAGAGACAAUAUGACCAGUCAGAGACAGGACAGAGACAAUAUGACCAGGCAGAGACAGGACAGAGACAAUAUGACCAGUCAGAGACAAUAGGACCAGUCAGAGACAGGACAGAGACAAUAUGACAAGUCAGAGACAAUAUGACCAGGCAGAGACAAUAUGACCAGUCAGAGACAAUAUGACCAGACAGAGACAAUAUGACCAGUCAGAGACAAUAUGACCAGUCAGAGACAGGACAGAGACAAUAUGACCAGGCAGAGACAAUAGGACCAGUCAGAGACAGGACAGAGAUAUUAUGACCAGUCAG